AUGCCAAAACUCCAUGCUUCCACCGAAAUGCGCAUCUACUGCUUCAUACCAGUCUUAUCAGCAUGCCUUGGCUUCAAUGGAAGGAAGCUCGAGGGCCUGAAUGUGCUCGGGAUUCUUCCUGCGACCAAAUCCUGGCCCUACAUUACUAGUUCAGCCUUGCAUUACCAGUUCAGUCCUGCAUUACCAGAAAAACAAUGGCCCUGCGUUACCAGUUCAAGCCCUGUAUUAAAUUAA